rnacentral:rRNA from 1 species
GACGAACGCUGGCGGCGUGCUUAAUACAUGCAAGUCAACUGAACUUAAGGUAGUAAUACUUUAAGGGAGGUGGCGCACGGGUGAGUAACACGUAGGUAAUCUGCCUUUAGGUCUGACAUAACCCCGAGAAAUCGGGGCUAAUUUCAGAGUGAUGCAGCGGCUCGACAUCGAGACAGUUGUUAAAUCUUCGGAGCCUAAAGAUGAGCCUGCGUCUGAUUAGGUAGUUGGCGGAGU